rnacentral:rRNA from 1 species
AAUCAACGCUGGCGGCGUGCCUAACACAUGCAAGUCGAGCGCGAAAGGGGAGCAAUCCCCAAGUAGAGCGGCGAACGGGUGAGUAACGCGUGGGUAAUCUGCCUCCGAGUGGGGAACAACAUCGGGAAACUGGUGCUAAUACCGCAUAACAUCGUCGGGCCUUCGGGUCUGACGAUCAAAGCCGGGGACCGGCAAGGCCUGGCGCUUGGAGAGGAGCCCGCGUCCGAUUAGCUAGUUGGUGAGGUAAUGGCCCACCAAGGCUUCGAUCGGUAGCCGGCCGAGAGGGCGGACGGCCACACUGGGACUGAGACACGGCCCAGACUCCUACGGGAGGCAGCAGUGGGGAAUUUUUCGCAAUGGGCGAAAGCCUGACGAAGCAACGCCGCGUGGAGGAUGAAGGCCUU